rnacentral:rRNA from 1 species
AUUGAACGCUGGCGGCAGGCCUAACACAUGCAAGUCGAACGAGUGGCGGACGGGUGAGUAAUGUAUGGGAAACUGCCCGAUGGAGGGGGCUAACUACUGGAAACGGUAGCUAAUACCGCAUACAAUCGGAUGAGCCCAGAUGGGAUUAGCUUGUCGGUGAGGUAACGUCUCACCUAGGCGACGAUCCCUAGCUGGUCUGAGAUGAUGAUCAGCCACACCGGAAAGUAGACACGGUCCAGACUCCUACGGGAGGCAGCAGUGGGGAAUAUGGCACAAUGGGCGAAAGCCUGAUGCAGCCAUGCCGCGUGUAUGAAGAAGGCCUUCGGGUUGUAAAGUACUUUCAGCGGGGAGGCGUUACCCGCAGAAGAAGCACCGGCUAACUCCGUGCCAGCAGCCGCGGUAAUAC